ACUUUAAAGUACUGCUAUAAGUCGCUCUGGAUAAGGGCGUCUGCUAAAUGCCUUAAA
rfam:Astyanax mexicanus Tnplaced_Scaffold_312, whole genome shotgun sequence.